UGAACACAUUUUAAACGUGCCUCGAAGA
rnacentral:piRNA from 1 species